rnacentral:rRNA from 1 species
UGGGGAAUAUUGCACAAUGGGCGAAAGCCUGAUGCAGCGACGCCGCGUGAGGGAUGACGGCCUUCGGGUUGUAAACCUCUUUCAGCAGGGAAGAAGCGAAAGUGACGGUACCUGCAGAAGAAGCGCCGGCUAACUACGUGCCAGCAGCCGCGGUAAUACGUAGGGCGCAAGCGUUGUCCGGAAUUAUUGGGCGUAAAGAGCUCGUAGGCGGUUAGUCGCGUCUGCUGUGAAAACUCGAGGCUCAACCUCGGGCUUGCAGUGGGUACGGGCUGACUAGAGUGCGGUAGGGGUGACUGGAAUUCCUGGUGUAGCGGUGGAAUGCGCAGAUAUCAGGAGGAACACCGAUGGCGAAGGCAGGUCACUGGGCCGCAACUGACGCUGAGGAGCGAAAGCAUGGGGAGCGAACAGGAUUAGAUACCCUGGUAGUCCAUGCCGUAAACGUUGGGCACUAGGUGUGGGAUCCAUUUCCACGGAUUCCGUGCCGCAGC